ensembl:ncRNA lncRNA:CR44763 long non-coding RNA:CR44763
AUUAUCUCGACAUUGUGUGGCGUUCUACUUAGGAUCUCCUGCAGCUUAUGAUAAGAGAAGCUUCCCCAUAUUUCCUUUCUCGCCAGCUCUCUCAUCACUAACGCUGGUUAUAAGACCAGGCUUGGAUUUAUCUUUCGGGUUUUUCGGUUUUGGACGCCAGCUCCAUGUUUCAGGUUAUUCUUUACCCGUCGAGCCAAACUCAAUGCCAAACUCCGACGCAUUUGUUGUUUCUGCUGCCGCUGCAUUCCGAAGUCGAGCAGGUACCUGUCUUUCUCCCUCCCUCGCCAUCUCUCUCGCUCUCUAUCGCAUCUGUGUGAGUGCGAUCGCUGCUCGCUACCUGCGAACGCAAGAGCAGCAACAACACAAUCCCGGUUUCCAGGAAAAUAUUAACGAUAACUCCAAAAAAAGCAGAAACUCCGUUGCCGCACCACACACAGAAACUCAGAAAACAGAUUGGGAUGCACAAAUCCAGCGGAUGGCACAACAAUAGCGAACUGGCAUUGUUAUUGAUACUAGGAAAGCCAUGCACUUUCCAUCUAUCCCUCUCGGUUGCAUUUGCCCACUAAAAAAGGAAAACGCCGCCGUCUUCUGUGCCUUCUAAAAAAAUAAAAGAAAAGGGACAAGGAUCGAAAUCGAGAAAGGGACCUAGGACCUGGGAAAAUCUGAGUUUCUACCUGACCCCAAAACGCUCACACCCGCACCAUCAAACAUGCACUGAUAUCAGCAUCCUGUAUUUGAAGAGGCAUUGCUACACUGAGAAAAUAGCACACUUCAUAAAGAUAAUGAUUCAAGUAGCAGUUA